rnacentral:rRNA from 1 species
UACGAAGGGGGCUAGCGUUGCUCGGAAUCACUGGGCGUAAAGCGCACGUAGGCGGAUUGUUAAGUCAGGGGUGAAAUCCUGGAGCUCAACUCCAGAACUGCCUUUGAUACUGACGAUCUCGAGUCCGGGAGAGGUGAGUGGAACUGCGAGUGUAGAGGUGAAAUUCGUAGAUAUUGGGAAGAACACCGGUGGCGAAGGCGGCUCUCUGGACCGAGACUGACGCUGAGGCGCGAAAGCGUGGGGAGCAAACA